rnacentral:rRNA from 1 species
AUUGAACGCUGGCGGCAGGCCUAACACCUGCAAGUCGAACGAGUGGCGGACGGGUGAGUAAUGUCUGGGAAACUGCCCGAGGGAGGGGGAUAACUACUGGAAACGGUAGCUAAUACCGCAUACCAUCGGAUGUGCCCAGCUGGGAUUAGCUUGUAGGUGAGGUAACGGCUCCCCUACGCGACGAUCCCUAGCUGGUCUGAGAGGAUGACCAGCCACACUGGAACUUAGCAGCGGUGCAGCCUCCUACGGGAGGCAGCAGUGGGGAAUAUUGAACAAUGGGCGCACGCCUGAUGCAGCCAUGCCGCGUGUAUGAAGAAGGCCUUCGGGUUGUAAAGUACUUUCAGCCGGGAGGCGUUACCCGCAGAAGAAGCACCGGCUAACUCCGUGCCAGCAGCCGCGGUAAUAC